GAUCAUAUUUCCUUUGGAUCUUAACUAGACAAAUUCAACGUGGCUUGUUUCUUGGACUAGUUUGAUAACACAAUCCUAUAUAAAUAGUAUUAAAUUAAAAAGUAAUGAAAAUAUAAAUUUAGUUAAGAGUAAUUUGCACCAACAGUCACUCAACUUUGGAAUAGUUGACAAAAUAAUUACCUUACUUUUAUUUUAGUCACUCAACUUUUAAAAAAAAUAACUGUAGUCAACCAAUUUUGCCCGGCCCUUUAUUUUAUUUUUUCACUCGCAAUAAGUAAAUAGUCAGCCAAAUAAACCCAAAUAAAGUCCAAAUAGUCUAUUUACAACCUUUAAUAAACACUAAACUUAUACUAGCCCCAAAAAUAAAAAAAACAGAUCUGGUCCAAUGCCCGAAUAGCCCAAACAUAUACAGAGGCCCAAAGACCAAUAUCCUUAAGCCCGAUUUGCAAAAAGGCCCAAACUCGAAAGAACCCAAAAGGGGAAUCUCAGCAGCCGAAAGCACUAGGGGUUUCCAGAACACACCAGUGCUGCAAUCACGGCUUUCACGAGCGAUUUUCUCCGUACGGUCGUUUCUCUAUACCUGCAAAAGAAUAUACGAGAAGAAUCAGCAACAGAAUAUACAGCCAAGUGACAGAAGGAAAAUGUAUUUUUUAUUUUUCAUUUAUUCUGUAAAUUCGGCUAUAAAAAACCAUUAUUUGUACCUCGAUUUUUUUAAUCAUAGUAUACACUUACGCACGCAUACUAAAUACGAGAGAAAGUAUUUCAAAAGCAAAUUUAAAAAGGUGAUUUUUAGUUUUUUUUUACUGGCUUUUAGUUUUUUUUCGUUGAAUAGUUUCAUUUUUCCUAUUCAAUCUUUCGAUAUUGUAUUUCAAAAUAAAAAGUAAUUAAAGCGAAAGAAAAGAUCUUACUUUGCAAAUUCGCCAUGGAUCUUCUUUGUUUCGUUGAAAUAGAAAACAGGGGAGAGAUCUUAAGGCUGCAAAAUGGUUUCAUGACUCAAAUGCUCCUCUUGUUGGCGGCGCCUGCUAGAUGAAACCCUAAGGGAUUGGGCUGAUAGCAUAUACUUUAUUUGGAAAGAUUAGCUGCGUUUUGGGGAAGGAAUGGGAAAAGGAAGGUUAAAUGGCCUGUUAUUGAAACGGCGCCGUUUCAAAGGGGGGGAUAGGGUCCGUUUGGAGACCUGGAUCCACCCUCUUGCGCUUGAAAUGGUUUAUUUAUGUAGCAGUCCCCUCCCCUUUGCGCCGCAUUGUGAUUAAAUCCUUCUUGUAACUAUUUUGUUUCGGUUUUCUUUUAAAUUUUCCCCAAAAUUUGUAUAAUCUUGCAUUUUAAUCCAUGCCUUCAUGCAGUGUUUCAGGAUCAGGGACAAUUUCGAAUAUGGUCCCUGUGAAUUCAAGCAUGUUAUAUAUGAGUCCUUAUUUUAUUAUUAAUAGUUUAUUUAUUUAUGCAAAUUAUCCUUUUUAUUUUACUUUGAUUUUCAUUGAGUAAUUUGUUAGACUUAUG
rnacentral:lncRNA from 1 species